GUGUCAGCCGCCGCGGUAAUACGGAGGGUGCGAGCGUUGUUCGGAAUUAUUGGGCGUAAAGCGCGUGCAGGCGGUCAUGUAAGUCAGAUGUGAAAGCCUUCCGCUUAACGGGAGAAGUGCAUUUGAAACUACAUGACUAGAGUACGGGAGAGGAGAGUGGAAUUCCCGGUGUAGAGGUGAAAUUCGUAGAUAUCGGGAGGAACACCAGUGGCGAAGGCGGCUCUCUGGAUCGAUACUGACGCUGAGACGCGAAAGCGUGGGGAGCAAACAGGAUUAGAAACCCCUGUAGUCC
rnacentral:rRNA from 1 species